UCUGUUUUGGGCCUAGCCCAUUCACUGCCACUAUAGCCCAGCCCGAGAACUCCACUUAACUAUACCUAUACGGUGCGUUUUAAGAAAAUUAGGUUUACACUUUCCUUCUCUCCUCAUUCGGUCCCGUGCGGCGUGCCUCUCCCUUCCCUCAUACCUGCGCCGACUCCCAAUCUCCCCUCUCUAGUCUCUUCUUCUUCUUCUUCCAUUCUUCUUCUUGAAUAUUCACUCUUCAGACUUCGGUUUCUUCCUCUCCUCACAGUCACCGUCGUGCCUCACUGCCCUGGUGCAUCUCGGUGGGUCUUCCACGCACAGCCCUCGUCGACGCCGUGAACCUCCCCUCACGCAGCCCCUCUCACGGACCCAUGGUUAACAUCAAGCCAAAGCAUAAGGCUGCACACAAUCAAAACAGAACAUAUGUUUUCAAGCCACCAAGUUUGCUGGUGGUAGGUGACAGUGCAGAAUCUACAUGAAAGGAAGAAGAGAUCUAAAUCAAUUCAAGAACUCCAUAGCCCACAUAGGCAAAAUAAAUAAAGCAUCAUAUUCCAGGGAUGCAUCCGCAUUCGAAGCACCAGAACGGAAGAAACUCAGGCAGUUCUUCAAUCUUGAAAAUCUCUAGCAUCACUCUUCAUCACAAGAAAGAAAUGGAAACAUCCAGAUUCCUAGGCUAGGGGAAAAUAUGAUGAUAUUAAUUUUAGGAACAUAAUUGAUGAUGUUAUUAGUCAAUCUCUAAAAGGUUCCAGCAUGUGUGUGGUGAAUUAUUCCUAAAAUAAAAUUUCUAAGGCAUUACACUUGUUAGGAAGGGUUAAGAGAAAUGGAGAGAAAAUGAAAGAGGAAUGAAGAGUUAUGCAGAGAGAGUCCGUCGGUGGAGUCAAAGAAAUCCAUAGAGGGUGCUAAAAAGAAGAGAAAAUGUGUUACUUUGGAAAAGUCAAAUUGAAACUGGAUCUGAUAAGAAAUUUGAGAUA